UCGUUUUCAACAUGGCUUCUUCACUAAUAAUGUAUUUCCUUUAUUCAAAACCUAUUUUGAAAUGUUUUACUUGAACCGAUAGAAACUAUGGGGAACAAUUUUUCUACCUACCUCCUCAGGCCCACUUGUGAGAUCGAUUAUACACGUUUAUUCAGUAAUUUUCAUGGUAAAGCUUGAUGAUUCAACAAAUAUUCGAGAAGCAAGCAGCAAAUUAAUAAAUAUGGGCUUAGUAUAUGUUAUUGAUCAUCAUCUCAUUUUUGUGAUAAUAUCAAUUUUGAAGGGUACUGUAUAAUGGGUCUUCUAAGAAUUAAUCUGUACGUAUAAUUUAAGAUUAUCGAUCAAUAUCUCUUUUUUCUUCUCUUCUCUCAAACAUAACAUAUAUAUUGCUAUGUGUGAAUCAUUAUACGUAUAUCUUAAAAGGAUAAUGACGCCGGAAGUGGCUCGAAACUUCCGGUUAGAGAUGAAGAAGGCCACCAUGUGAAGAAAGGAAUAUCGAAGAAGAAGAAGAUAAAAUUCCGCUCCAUCACUGACCUCUACAAGUGUACUGAUAGGCUCUCACCGGUUGAAGAUGAAUAUAAUUGGAGUUUCCCAGCGGGAAAAAUUCCGAAUACUGAUAUCUCAGUCAAAGAACUAACAAAAAGAAUGCAAAAAUAUUAAAAUAUUAUCCAGAAGUGAAUUCAGAUGGAGAAAUGGUGGAUAAAAUGGGCUGCGUGAAUAAACGAAAGUUUCGAUCAAUUGUUGAUAUUUAUGAGGCAACAAAACCCGUUGGCCGUAACAAGAACAAGCAUUAGCUAGAUUAUAUUGUCACAUAGACUUAGCAGUUGGCAGUAGUCAGUACCACUAAUAUUUUUCUAGGUGAAUGAAUGUUGAAUUGAAGAUAUUAAUUACUGUUAUUGUGGAUUGACAUUUGACAAGUUUUUGGUAUUAAAAGUUUCUUCAAGAAUUGCAUGCAUUUUGAAAUUUAGA